rnacentral:lncRNA from 1 species
CAAUAAGCCAGUUGUUCCCUCUCAGACCCUCUCCCCUGUCUGGCCCUGGAAAUUCCUCUGCUUCCUCUGUCUGCACUGUCUAGCUGUCUUGCUUCCCUCUCUGGGAGGGCCCGGCAUAAUGCAUCCAAAAAAACCAAGGGUAGAAGUUGUUUUCCUGUAACUUCUGCUUCAGGAAAUGGCUGGCUACCUUCCGAAGAGGGAGAGAAAAUUACUUUCAGAAUAAAAGACAAAUUAACAUCUCGGUUAACUGGUUCAAUUCCGCUAACUGGAAGAAAGGAACUACCAGGGAUUAGACCUCAGCGUUCAAAGGAGAAGGGAAAAGAAGAUAUUUGCAAAGCAGCUGCCUGCACCUUGGUGCCAAGUCACUAGCCUAGAGCGACACCAUUGAAUUGGCUUCUGCUUCCAGCUCUAACCAGGCUUCGGAUUUGGAGCGGAGAUGAUGUACGGUCCUGUCUUUCAUUCUCUUCCCACUUCAGCACCUCUUUUGGAGUGGAGGUGGCGAGCUUCGUCUGGUUCGGGAGGGACCACCCCCUCCUCCUCCUUCUGAGCCUAUUCCAUCAGCGUUAAGACUGGCAGAGGAGACAGAGCCGCUGUUAGACCACAAGAUGCCUUCCUAAGAAUCGUCCCUUACUUGUAGAAAGCGCUCAAUAAAUAUGUGCAGAAUGAAUGAAUGAACAAGGACAUUUAAAAAUUAAUAAAUGAAUUUAUGAUCCUA